rnacentral:rRNA from 1 species
UGUAAAGCACUGUCAGAGGGGAAGAACAAGCGUAUAAAUAAUAAGUGUACGCUCUGACGUACCCUCAGAGGAAGCUCCGGCUAACUCCGUGCCAGCAGCCGCGGUAAUACGGAGGGAGCAAGCGUUGUCCGGAAUCAUUGGGCGUAAAGGGCACGUAGGCGGUUCGGUAAGUCGAAUGUGAAAUCUCAUGGCUUAACUGUGAAACUGCGUUCGAAACUACCGAACUUGAGUACUGGAGAGGUAUGCGGAAUUCCUGGUGUAGCGGUGGAAUGCGUGGAUAUCAGGAAGAACACCAGUGGCAAAGGCGGCAUACUGGCCAAGUACUGACGCUGAGGUGCGAAAGCGUGGGGAGCAAACGGGAUUAGAUACCCCGGUAGUCCACGCUGUAAACGAUGUUUACUAGAUUGUGGGAGUUCUGACACCUUCGCAGUCGAAGCAAAAGUGCUAAGUAAACCGCCUGGGGAGUACGGUCGCAAGGCUAAAACUCAAAGGAAUUGACGGGGGCUCACACAAGCGGUGGAGCAUGUGGAUUAAUUCGAAGCAACGCGCAGAACCUUACCUGGGUUUGACAUGUAUGGAUGCCUAUCUGGAAACAGAGUCGGCUGCCUUAGGGUGAAACUUACACAGGUGCUGCAUGGCUGUCGUCAGCUCGUGUCGUGAGAUGUCGGGUUAAGUCCUUUAACGAGCGAAACCCUUGCCGUUAGUUGCCAGCGAGUAAUGUCGGGGACUCUAACGGGACUGCCGGUGUUAAACCGGAGGAAGGUGGGGAUGACGUCAAGUCCUCAUGGCCCUUAUGUCCAGGGCUACACACGUGCUACAAUGGCCGGUCCAGAGGGCAGCGACAUAGCAAUAUGAAGCGAAUCCCAGAAAGCCGGUCUCAGUACG